AUUGAACGCUGGCGGCAGGCCUACCACAUGCAAGUCGAACGAGUGGCGGACGGGUGAGUAAUGUCUGGGAAACUGCCCGAUGGAGGGGGAUAACUACUGGAAACGGUAGCUAAUACCGCAUACCAUCGGAUGUGCCCAGAUGGGAUUAGCUAGUAGGUGGGGUAAUGGCCCACCUAGGCGACGAUCCCUAGCUGGUCUGAGAGGAUGACCAGACACACGGGAACUGAGACACGGUCAAGACUCCGACGGGAGGCAGCAGUGGGGAAUAGUGCACAAUGGGCGAAAGCCGGAUGCAGCCAUGCCGCGUGUAUGAAGAAGGCCGUCGGGUUGUAAAGUACUUUCAGCGAGGAGGCGUUACUCGCAGAAGAAGCACCGGCUAACUCCGUGCCAGCCGCCGCGGUAAUAC
rnacentral:rRNA from 1 species